rfam:Nicotiana attenuata strain TT chromosome 5, whole genome shotgun sequence.
UGGACAUAUUAUUGUAUUCGACUAUAUUCACGGCGUGAAAUAGGGGAUUACAUUAUUUUUAAAACAGAAAGUGAAUCAAUUAACAUAAUAGUGUCAC